GAAAAAGAAAUCUGUGUGAACACUUUCCUAUUGACUUAGAGCAAAAAUCCCUAUCGCCAUUAUCGCUCUUGUACGUUGAAUGGAUUUGGAGCAAAACUUGAAAAAGAAAAUGAAUGCUCUUUUUUUUAAAACAAAACAAAAAUCAAACACAGCCUCAUCAACUUCCUCAAAAUCGUAAGCUGUACCAGGAACAGAACCACCAUCUUGCUUCCAUCUCCUCCCUUUCCUUUGCUUGGCCGAGGACCUCAUUUAGGAAGUGAAGGAUUUUGCUGUUGUUUCCUUGUCUCCUCUACCAUGUUCGGCUGAUGAGGCUUUCCUCCAACAUGCAGAAUCACAGAUAAGUUCACAGCCAUCCUCCUUCUCUUUGUCCAGCCGAAGACAACCACCAUCAAGGAGUUGGAAAUCGGUCCUUGGAGAGGAGAUAAAUCCCCUGCAUGUGACUGCAGGCGUAAACCUUGGAGAGAAGAAGAGGUGCGCAAAUUCCCUAAGAGCGUGGUCUAUUCUUGUGCCGUUUGAUUGGUACUUGGCUGUUUAAUUGAUGCUUGGACUCACAAGGUGGAUGUAGCGGUGCUGAAGUCUUGAGCAAGAGGCUCACAGGUUGAGGAUGAGGAGCACAUGUUUGAAUGCAUGAUUAUAUAUGUCAUUUUGCAUUUUGGAAUGUAUUUGAUAGGUUAGACUUAGUGCAUGAACAUUGUGUAUAGCAUGAGUUAUGUAUACCAUCCGUGUUCUUGUUCAUAUAGCAUUAUUUUGGCAAGUCUAGUAUAGAUGUAAUUAUUGCCAUUUCAAGCCUUUUGAUGUAGUAGUUAUAUUUGUGAUGGAUAAAUGUAAUUAAAGAAGCAUGGAUCUUGUGUCAAGUAAUGAUGUAUGUAUGUGA